UGGCCAAUUAAUUAUAUAUAUGUUCAUUAUAUGAUAACUAGGCUCGUGCGUGUGUACAAGUCUCCAUUUGUCACCUAGCACAGUAUCUGACACUUCAAUCCAAUCCACUCACUACAAGUGAGUUCAUACCCCUUUAACUAACCUUUGAAAUACUUUUAAAUGUUUUAAAUGCUUUUAUGGGGGGAGGGGAAUACAAGUUGAAUACUUAUAGUUAUUACAUCUAUCACAUGUGAUUAAUAACUACAAAACCAAUGAUUUUCUUACUGUUCAAACUGUUUAUCAAAAUGUUUUGCUUUAAACUGUUUACAAACUCUUUUACUUAUCAAAUACUUUUACUUAAACUCUGUUAUACUUAUUAUCAAUUGCAUGUCCAUAUAUGUAUAGUUAUAUAAGAAAUGUUUAAAAGGCUUAGGAAGGCCGCCCGCCCUAUUUCCUUUUCGCGCUUGAGAUGUGGUCUGGUGGGAUAUCGGGUACCCUUCAGAAGGUCGUUUAAAUAUUAGUUAUAUAUCAUGUGUACAUAUAUAGUCAUAAAAGUUCUCCUAGUUCAUUCAAUACCCUUGGGUAGCAAGGGUAUACUUCCAUGUUCAUACAUACCAGUUAUAUUACUAGUAAACUACAAUAGGCGUAGUUUAGGGUUUUACUAAUGCUAAUACUAGAACACUAAAUCACACAAAGAGUCAGUUCAUACAUGAAACAUAAUACAUAGUGAUGAGAAACAAACAUAUUACAUAGUGAUGAGAAACAAACAUAAUACAUAGUGAUGAGAAACAAACAUUAUACAUAGUAAUGAGAAACAAACAUAAUACAUAGUGAUGAGAAACAAACAUAAUACAUAGUGAAGAGAAACAAACAUACAUGCUAGACAGAGGAAGAACACACAAUACAGCUAGCACAUACAUUACAUAUACAUUACAUAUAUAUUACAUUUAGUUAUGUGAGCUAUUAAACGGGUCAUGGCACUACCUGCCAUGACCGUUUUUGUAUCCAGAAUCUCCUUAAUUAAGGAGCGUAUGAGUUUGCGUAUAGAUCUAUACUGGAUUGACUAUCCUACACCUUGCUGCUCGCUAUAGUGGGACUUGCAAGUCUAUGGGUGCCAAAUGUCAUUUCUUACGGCGUCUUACAUCGUCGUUUUACUAUUGAGUCGGUAGCAGGAUAUAGGCCGAUCACAUGUUACUUUAAAUUUCAUUUUGUUUAAGGUAGUUAGUACAGCAGUAGUCACUUAUUAUAAAACUACAAUACUUUAUUAUUUCCCCAUUACAUUCACUUCGUGAACAUUCACACGAUGCACGGUAAUGUAAAUACUAUAUUUUUGGUUAAUGAUGAUUUGGGAAAAUACACACUCUUACAACAGACACAGAUAGAUACUAGAUGCCUUGGUAGAAGGAUACUUUUAGUAGGAAACAUAUGGUUUUCUAGGAUGUUCAAAACAAUUUUAUACUUACAGUUCAUAUACAUACAAAUACUUACAUUUCAAAUACAUACAAACACUUAAAUUUCAAAUACAUACAAAUGCUUACAUAAAAAUUAAGACACUAAAAUACUUAUGAUCUCACCAGCUUUAAAGCUGAUACUCUCUUUCAAAAUAACUUGUAUCCUCAGGUAAACAGUGGACAGGUACCGAUGCAAGGUUUAGAGAAGAUGGAACUCGUUCAAGACUCGUCUUUCUUUUUGAAUUAUACUUUAGUGUUUAUCAUAAUUUGACAGAACACACUUGUAUUAAAAUUAUAUUAUUAAUGCAAUGGAUGAAGUUGUUGCUUGUUUACUACUUUUCAUUGUUGUGAUACUGAACAUGAUGUCCUCCGCCCCAGAAUGUUUCCGCCGUUCAUGGUUUGGGGGUGUGACAGAUUGGUAUCAAAGCAUUGUUUAUAGUGAAUUAAGUAUAUCAAUCCAUAAAAGAUAUACUAACUAUAAAUACAUAGGGAUUAAAAAUACUCUGACCAAGAGUUUAUACAUUAAAUAGUAAAAUAUUUAAUUAAGUAUACAUGCCUGCAUUCAUACUAAAAUCAGUGUCACUAGGAACGUAUAAAAGAAUUACGAUUGUUGGGCAACACAGGUGGACUUAGAGACAUAUGGUCAAAACUGGGAAGAUAUAGCCUGAUCAACUAUAUUAUCCGAGGGUUGACUAGCAUGUGCCUAAGUGUAGUUGUGUGGUUGCAACAAGUCUAAAAUCUUACCAACAAUACCACAAUGAGAACAGUAGAACAUAACAUUAAACUUAAAAUACUAUAGGGGUAUUUGGUGUUACUAUAAGUACUUUAUACUUGAGAACUAAAACGGGAUCUUCAUUACGAAGUUGAUAGUUGCUAAGUGGAUACACUAAGGCUAUAUGUAACUAGGAUGUUAUAGACUUAGAAUCUGUGAAAAUUUUGCUUUACCCCUAUUCUUUGUGAAUUUGGAGUUAAGGUCACUUAUUCGAAGGCCUAUCCUAUUUCGAUUACAUAUAACUGGUAUGCACUUCACAAAUAGUGAUGUAACUAAUGAAGAUUAUCUAAAUAAUUAUCUAGAUAGUUCGUCUAAUAAUUAUUUUCUUACCCCAAUUCUUGCGUAGAUAACAUGGCUGGACUCCAUCCCCACGGCAACCAGUACCUUCCGAAUGAGGUCAUUGCUGGAUGGUUUGAAGAAGAACCAGAGAAUGAUCAUCCUAUCCCUGUUAAUGAUCACCAUGAUGAAGACCUUUCGGACGGUGCUAACUCUGAACCCGAGGUUGAGAACCUACCCCAGGCAGCUCCCUUUCCAAUUCCUAACCCUCGUCCGACUUUUAAAGGCUCGACGCCUGAGUGGGUGCAAUGCUUGGAAACAUGGAGCCAAGGACGAGAUCAGCCCAUGCCAUUUAAUGGUGACCAAAGAUUUUAUGACCUGAGUAAUGGGGGCUCAGCAGACAGAAUCUUGCCAAUCUUGGUCCGCAGAGUGGGCCAAAAUGAGAUUCAAGGCAGGACAACCCUACAUCAGAUCACAGAAGUUGUCGCCGAUGCGAGAAUGCAAACCCUCCGCACCAUUCGUCUAGAAGAUGCUCGUGAGAGAUCUGAGAGAGACCAUUAAACCCUGCUACAAGUACUGGCCGAAUCACGAGUCGAAGUCAUAGAACUCCAUGUACGCCAGAGGGUGUACGAAAGACACCUACUUGAUGUGGAACGUCAACUGGCUGAGCUGAGAGUUCACCAGAGGGAUGACCGUCGCCAGUAGUAGAUGCUUUACUUUAUUUUUCCUUGUUAAAAGGGAAUCGUUUUUCUGUCUAUGCCCGAUGUGGCAUUUUCUAUGAAAAUAUUUUGUACUGUAAGUACUUUUGGUUAGGUCUUUAUGCUGUCAAGAACUAUCUUCUCAAGAUAUGAUGUAAGACCUUUUACAAGGUCAUUUUCCCGAACUUUUACGUCAUGAAUAUCAAAGAUAUUGACAGUCGGCUAACUUUUGUGUCAUUCUUUAUUCAAGUACUCUCAUCAUACUCUCAUUUGAGUAUACUUGAAACAUGCUUUAGUCAAGUAAUUGGACUAUAGCAAUUUAGCUCCGGAGACAUUUCCAAGUCUCUUUUAGUGGUUGGAUCAUGUUAUUCACCAACCAACGAUACCUCGGCUUGAACGACAAACGUCAUGAGACCAUUCUACAAACUCACUUCCAUUAAGUACUAGGACUGCAUCAUAGGGAUGUAGGUCAAACUUUCGAGGACAUACUCUUACUAUUUUCUUGAACAAUUGAAGUACAUCUAGGGUCAAACCAAAAUCGCUCACAAAAUCCUUAUCUUUCGUGUUACAGAAUCAUGUCAUCGUUUGGGAGCAGCCAGCUGAACAACGAAACCUCUGCUUUUCCUAUGGACGCCACUACUUUUCAAACCACAGUUACAGCUACCGUCAUGGCUGUCGUGACAGCUGUCCUUGCAAACCGCAGCACUAUCAACGCAAGCAAGACUGAAAAAGGAAUUGGGAAUCCCGAUCGUGUUAACGAUCCGAGAAAUCAACAAAUAGUAACAGUCGCCACUGCCCAAAACAACAACUCAGAGUUCAAGAAAAGAAAACAUCAAGCCAAAGUGGAACGCAAACAUUUCAGAGAAAUGCCAUGCAAAAACAACAAGUGGAAACCGCUGCCAUCCCAGUACCGAGCAGACCAUAUGAAGGAACACUCCCGAAGUGCGACCGGUGGAACUAUCACCACAAAGGAAUUUGUCGAGUUCGGCAAUGCAAUAAUUGCAAAAAGAUGGGGCACAUUGCUUGUUUUUGUAGAACUACCCCCACCACUGGAGCAAGCCUAGUUUGCUAUAGUUGUGGUGAGGCAGGGCACUAUUACAGAGAUUGCCCAAAAGAGAAGAUCAACGAAAGCAACCGUGUCCCCAUAACUUCUACUAGACACACUACUAGAAACACAGCCUUUUACGACGCGCAAACCACGACACUCCUUGAUUUAUGUNNNNNNNNNNNNNNNNNNNNNNNNNNNNNNNNNNNNNNNNNNNNNNNNNNNNNNNNNNNNNNNNNNNNNNNNNNNNNNNNNNNNNNNNNNNNNNNNNNNNACACUUACUAGAUUGAAGAUAUUGAACAAAACUUGGAUGAUACUUAAGAGUGUUUUUGAGUUUACUCUUUUUGGUGAUUGUGGAGUAAACAUAAAAUGACUAGUUUGGGGAGUAAACUCAUGUUUAAGCAUGAGUUUACGUUUUUGGGAAGAUUUUUCGGCCCAGACAUAAAAGUUUGUCCAUGAACUUCUAAGACACAAGGCGUUUGCAGCUUUGAAAUUUCAAGACUCGAGAUGACACUUCUUUUCACCUGUUCGUUUAAAGAAUAAUAUUAAAAUAAUCAAACGAAAUUUAAAUUUGCUAAAAAUAAGUAAUAAUGUAAUUGACCUAUAAAUCGAAGUGAUUGAAUUUUAGGGUUUGACCGAAUGAAAAUUUCAAGUUGUCACAUCAUCCCCCUAUUAAGGGGAAUUUCGUCCCGAAAUUAGAAUUUAGGUAAGGAAGUAGGUAUGAAUGGUCGAGUCGAGAGGUGGGAAACUUCCUAAUAGAUUGUUUCACGCGCUCAUAAGUGAAUUCGGGUCCUCGGUUGGUAUCCCAACGAACCUUUACUAACUGGCGACGACGUUGCUUCGUCCGCUUGACCUCUCGGUUGAGGGUCACUACGGUUCUAUUACGAAGGCAAGGAUCUCGUUAAUCUCAAUCUCGUUAGGCUAGACUUACGAGAUUCCUAACGGAAAGGUACGGUUUCAAGAUUGAGACGCGAAGGGUAAAAUGUACGUUACUGAGUUCGCGGAGUAGGUUUAGUCUGUGAGAUACAGGACCGAUUCUGGUAAGAAUCUUGGAGGUCCUGAUUAUCUUGGAUUUAGCUUUCCAUGCUUUACAAAGCGCAUUAAGCCAUUCCUAGAGUGAGUUUUCCUAAAGAACUUGGUCUCUCACUUGGAAUCUCCAAGGUUUCUUUUUCUUGUUUAUCUUCCCAGUCAAGGGCCACCCCCUGCUGGGUCAAAGUUGUAAAGGUUCCUGUAAUUUGCGAGGAGUUCUGAAUGGACUACGAUAGUAGGUCUGCAAGACCUAGAAUUUGGCAAAUUUCUGUCGGCGUCUUCGGUGUCGACAAAUUCCCAACGGUUUCGGAUAAAUUGACAGAGUACUCAAAGAUUUCCACAACACUAAUAGUGUGUCUUAGGAAAUUUUGACUCUUCAAUUCCAAAACUCGUGUUCAGAGAACUUUGCGAGAAGUAUCUCCGAGGGUAAUGUUUCCGCUGGUUCCUUCUUACUACGAGGGUAUAUAAGUAAGUCGUUACAUGGAGAAUGACGAACUGAUCCAUGUAAUAAAGACGGACUCUAUUCAUUAAACCCAUGAAUGCUUCGGGCGCAUUGGUCCUAUCCGAGGGGUAUCAGUACGAACUCGAAGUGUCCGCAUCGAGUUCAGAAGGUAGUCUUCUGGACAUCCUUCCCUAACACUCAAAUUAGUGAUAUUCGGAUCUCAAGUCCAUUUCUGAAAGUCAUCCUUUCCUUGUGUUUGCUCAACCAUUUCAUCUAUGCGGGGCAGAGACAACGAUUUCUAAUGGAAAUCUUGACGGAGUCCUUGAUAGCCGAGGAACAUAUGAUGCAAUCCGUCGACUUCUGGAAGAAUNGGUGAGAAGCCUGGUCUUCCAAUUCUAUAGCUGAGUAGUUCGCUAAAUUGUCCGGACUGUUCUUGUAUCUCCGUAGGUGUUUAGACUGAAGGGGGAUCUGUUUAUAGGAGUCAUACUGGGUUCUAAGUUUGUUCACAUGACGAUGCGAUACUCGUAGUCUUGGGCAGUUCUCCGUCCCGAAGUUCAUAUUUAGGAUUCAUACCUGGUUUCACAAUCACAAUCUCGCGUAUACGAGUCGUAUAUAAUUAAGAUUGAAAAGGUAGUCGAGUAACUGAUUCGCCUUUAAGCUCAUAUCCCAUCGAGGAAAAAGAAGUUAAAGUGGAAAUCCUCAAUUCUAAACCUGUAGAACCUUGAUUAUAUAUCACUCUNNNNNNNNNNNNNNNNNNNNNNNNNNNNNNNNNNNNNNNNNNNNNNNNNNNNNNNNNNNNNNNNNNNNNNNNNNNNNNNNNNNNNNNNNNNNNNNNNNNNGUCUAAAUCAAACCUAGACUAUUGCCAUGAUUGAGCUAAGGACUUCGAAACCCCCAAAUACCAUAAACUUGGGUUUAAGGUAGUAAACUCAAAGGAAAAUGGUAAAGGGACCGUUAACUCCAUUUAGGAGUGACAUGACGCCCUAGAUCUUUCCAAAGGCCUAACCACCAAGUAGAAAUGCUUCAAAGGACUUGUAAUACAUCAAAACAAUAUAUGUCCAUAAAGUGUAGAGUUUACGACCGUAAACCCUUGAGUUUACUGCCGUAAACUCCUUGGGUAAUGGUCAUUAGAACCAUAAACUCCAAAGGAGUUUAUCCUUGAACUCCAAACACUCUAGCUUUGCCCUACAAACACUUGGAUGCAACCCUUGUGAUCUUUAACACUUGAAACAAAGUGUUUUCAUGUUCUAGAGUGUCCCAACUUAAUUUAUUAGUUAUAAAUUGGCUAAUUAGUUAUAUAUAUGUUCAUUAUAUGAUAACUAGGCUCGUGCGUGUGUACAAGUCUCCAUUUGUCACCUAGCACANGUUCAUCCGUACCACUCACUACAGGUGAGUUCAUACCCCUUUAACUAACCUUUGAAAUACUUUUAAAUGUUUUAAAUGAUUUUAUGGGGGGAGGGGGAAUACAAGUUGAAUACUUAUAGUUAUUACAUCAAUCACAUGUGAUUAAUAACUACAAAACCAAUGAUUUUCUUACUGUUCAAACUGUUUAUCAAAAUGUUUUGCUUCAAACUGUUUACAAACUCUUUUACUUAUCAAAUACUUUUACUUAAACUCUGUUAUAAUUAUUAUCAAUUGCAUGUCCAUAUGUGUAUAGUUAUACAAGAAAUGUUUAAAACGCUUAGGAAGGCCGCCCACCCUAUUUCCUUUUCGCGCUUGAGAUGUGGUCUGGUGGGAUAUCGGGUACCCAUCCGAAGGUCGUUUAAAUAUUAGUUAUAUAUCAUGUGUACAUAUAUAGUCAUAAAAGUUCUCCCAGUUCAUUCAAUACCCUUGGGUAGCAAGGGUAUACUUCCAUGUUCAUACGUACCAGUUAUAUUACUAGUAAACUACAAUAGGCGUAGUUUAGGGUUUUACUAAUGCUAAUACAAGAACAAUANAAUGAGAAACAAACAUUAUACAUAGUAAUGAGAAACAAACAUAAUACAUAGUGAUGAGAAACAAACAUAAUAAAUAGUGAAGAGAAACAAACAUACAUGCUAGACAGAGGAAGAACACACAAUACAACUAGCACAUACAUUACAUAUACAUUACAUAUAC
rnacentral:lncRNA from 1 species